rnacentral:rRNA from 1 species
AGUAUCUGUGGAUUAAAGGUGGCUUUUGGGCUGUCGCAGAUGGAUGAGCCUGCGUUGGAUUAGCUAGUUGGUGAGGUAAGGGCCUACCAAGGCUACGAUCCAUAGCUGAUUUGAGAGGAUGAUCAGCCACAUUGGGACUGAGACACGGCCCAAACUCCUACGGGAGGCAGCAGUGAGGAAUAUUGGACAAUGGGGGCAACCCUGAUCCAGCAAUGCCAUGUGUGUGAAGAAGGCCUUAGGGUUGUAAAGCACUUUAGUUGGGGAAGAAAGCUUUGAGGUUAAUAGCCUUGAGGAAAAGGACGUUACCCAAAGAAUAAGCACCGGCUAACUCCGUGCCAGCAGCCGCGGUAAUACGGGGGGUGCAAGCGUUAAUCGGAAUUACUGGGCGUAAAGGGUCUGUAGGUGGUUUGUUAAGUCAGAUGUGAAAGCCUAGGGCUCAACCUUGGAACUGCAUUUGAUACUGGUAAACUAGAGUACGGUAGAGGAAUGGGGAAUUUCUGGUGUAGCGGUGAAAUGCGUAGAGAUCAGAAGGAACACCAAUGGCGAAGGCAACAUUCUGGACCGAUACUGACACUGAGGGACGAAAGCGUGGGGAUCAAACAGGAUUAGAUACCCUGGUAGUCCACGCUGUAAACGAUGAGUACUAGCUGUUGGAGUCGGUGUAAAGGCUCUAGUGGCGCAGCUAACGCGAUAAGUACUCCGCCUGGGGACUACGGCCGCAAGGCUAAAACUCAAAGGAAUUGACGGGGACCCGCACAAGCGGUGGAGCAUGUGGUUUAAUUCGAUGCAACGCGAAGAACCUUACCUGGUCUUGACAUCCUGCGAUCUUUCUAGAGAUAGAUUGGUGCCUUCGGGAACGCAGUGACAGGUGCUGCACGGCUGUCGUCAGCUCGUGUUGUGAAAUGUUGGGUUAAGUCCCGCAACGAGCGCAACCCCUAUUGAUAGUUACCAUCAUUAAGUUGGGUACUCUAUUGAGACUGCCGCUGACAAGGCGGAGGAAGGUGGGGACGACGUCAAGUCAUCAUGGCCUUUACGACCAGGGCUACACACGUGCUACAAUGGGUAUACAGAGGGCU